GCAGUUCCGUACGAACCAGCGGAGAAGCCAACUGAAGAAAAGGUGGGGGUCCACCACCACUCCGGAGGCUAAAGGGAUGGCACUCAGUCAAAACAGUGGGAGACCUAUUGCUAAAGGCAUCUCUGGAGGAACCUCAUCUGACCCAACCACCCCAAGGGUGGGCCUACAUAAGAGCUACUGAUGGUGUAAUCUGUCUGGUGGGGCCUUCUGCCAUAACAGACCUCCAUGCAGUUGAGAAUGAUGAAGACACCUUGUUAGCUGCCACAGAGAGGGAAGCUACAGAGAGGCCUAUUGAGCAAUGCUGGAAAAUACAAUGAGGAAGAGGGUCCAUCCACCUCCACAACUCCUCCUCAACUUACCUCAGUAAGAUGUUAUUCAGCAUUGGCCCAUGAUUUACAAUGAAACUAAGUAGACCUGGCACUGUGAAAUUCAAUCUAAUUUUUUUGUGUUCCUAUAGUUCCCUGUGAAACAGCUAUACUUAGAGAAACACAUUUAAAAAUGUAAUUUAGAAAUUGACCACAAGGCUGCAGAUGCAAGAACAUAGAAAUGCAACAGCUGGA
ensembl:lncRNA